GACGAACGCUGGCGGCGUGCUUAACACAUGCAAGUCGAACGGAAAGGCCCUGAUUUUGUGGGGUGCUCGAGUGGCGAACGGGUGAGUAACACGUGAGUAACCUGCCCCUGACUUUGGGAUAACUUCAGGAAACUGGGGCUCAUACCGGAUAGGAGCUCCUGCUGCAUGGUGGGGGAUGGAAAGUUUCGGCGGUUGGGGAUGGACUCGCGGCUUAUCAGCUUGUUGGUGGGGUAGUGGCUUACCAAGGCUGUGACGGGUAGCCCGCCUGAGAGGGUGACCGGCGACAUGGGGACUGAGGGACGGCGCAGACUCGUAUGGGAGGCAGCAGGGGGGAGUCUGACACAGCGGGGGGACGUCAGAUGCAGCAACGCCGCGUGCGGGAUGACGGCCUUCGGGGUGUAAACCGCUUUCGCCGGUGACGAGGCGUGAGUGACGGUAAUGGGUAAAGAAGCACCGGCUAACUACGUG
rnacentral:rRNA from 1 species